AGGAUUGAAAAAGAAAAGAAAAGCGUUCUGUAAACUCUGAAGUAGUUUUGAUUCUUGGGAAAUGAAGAAUUUUUCUGUAGUGACGCAAGUCAGUCUCCACCAUCCCUUGCUCGGCUUCAAACACCUCACUGCCUCCUGGAAGCCUAGGUGAUAAGCAUUUUGCAAGGUUGUUUGCCCGACCCCAGGCUCUAAGCCCCUGCAGGUGGACACAUGUGCAUGUGUGUGUAAAUCAACACCUAUCACACGUCCGCGGAAUAAGCACACUAUCUGAUGGCUAGGACCCCUGGACACAGAAUAUUCCAGCAAAAUGGCUAAAUACCAUUCGACUGUUAAUCAGUUGCAGAAACAGCAAAAAA